UUCAAAAUACAAUUCAUUUGAAAAUACACUUAAACAAAUGUGAGAUGUUAUUUGUGGUGUAAAUAUCAUUACAAUUUCAUUUUAUUUACAGUUGAAGAUCAACACAAACCAAAUGAAGAUGUUGUAGAUUCUACAAACAAUAAAAAAGAAGGUGAUGGCACACAUCAUGACAGUAAACAUCGGUAUCAAGAUGGUGUGAUUGAUCUAUACCCUAGAAUAAGCUGUGACACUGAUGCUGUGGUCACAUAAUGAACAGCCAUCUUACAGACAACCGAAAGAGUAUUGUCUACAAUCCCAAAUUCUGGAUUGACGAUCCAGUACCAGUGGGCACCCCAAUCCCAGAGAGCAUCCAUCUGAAACCAGGUGAGGUAACACAACGAAAAAAUUACCGGAUGGAGACUACCUGAUUCUUCACCUAUGGCCUCAGCUUCAAAUGCAAGAAGUCCAGCAACUGUCUGAGUUGGUGGAUAUUCUGUCAGAGACUCCGUGGACAACGUUAUGAAUAGGUUAUUUGUCUAAGGUGAAGUAAUCUUACAGUUCUUUCACAGAAUGAUGUGAAAUUGUCUUAUGGCAAAGUUCAAUAUGAAGGGUGGUGGACAUCUGGAAAAGAAGUCUUUUAAAGGCACACCUUUGUAUUAUGUUAUUCAAGAUGCUGUGAAGAGGUGGAGCCCAAAUGCCACCGAAUCGGAAAUAGAUGCAGCUAUGGCAGACCACCUCAAGCACGCUCCAGGAAGAGCUGGGGGUGGUGGAUACAAAAAAGCCUAACAGCUGUGAUGUGUUAAAGAGAGAGUUCACCAAAAAAGGAAAAUUGUUAUAAUUUUCUUAUCCACAUGUUUCAAACCUGUAUACAUUUCUAUUUUCUGCUGAACACAAAGAUUGAAGAAUGUUUGUAACUUCACAACCCAUUAACUGUCAAUAUUUUUUUUUUUACAAUUGUAGUAAUGGGUUGUGAGAUCUGCUUUGUUAAAAACAUUCUUUCAAAUAUCUUUGUGUUCAGCAGAACAUAGAAAGGUAUACAGGUUUGAAACAUGAGAGGGAAUAAAUGACUAAAUAUUAAUUUUUGGGUGAACUAUCCCUUUAUAGAAAGUGUUUUGAAAUUGUUAUUAUAGUUAAAUGGUUAAAAAAUAAAAAGUGCUAAAUCAGAA